CUCCACCUUCCUUUUUUUCUUCCUCCUUUCCUCCACUUGGGUUAACGAACGAACCCAGGCCUUCACAGAUAAACAGGUGGAUGCUGGAAGGGUGGGGUGGAUUGGUGGAAUGGUGUAGUGUGCCGCUGUCCACCUAUCUAUCUAUAAGGUGCAGGGGAUGAAGGGGUAACAAGGAAGGUUUAAAAGGAUGUGAAGCGCUCUCCCAUCUAUCUAUCUAUAAGGUGCAGGGGAUGAAGGGGUAACAAGGACGGUUUAAAAGGAUGUGUAGCGCUGUCCCAUCUAUCUAUCUAUAAGGUGCAGGGGAUGAAGGGGUAACAAGGAAGGUUUAAAAGGAUGCGUAGCGCUAACCCAUCUAUCUAUCUAUAAGGUGCAGGGGAUGAAGGGGUAACAAGGAAGGUUUAAAAGGAUGUGUAGCGCUA